AAACAUUUCAUUGCUGCAGAGACCAGCUUCAGGGAAGGAGCAGGAGGAGUGUCCGGUUGCUGCACAGUCGGCUUAGGAGGGAGGGCUGCUUCCCCUUCAGCUGCUUCCAACUCAGAGCAACCUACUGCAGCCUUAAGCUCCGCAGCAGAUGAACAAGCAGGCUUCCCACUCCAUCAUGGAGACAGACAGGGAGAGACCCCGCUUCCAGCUACCGCAACACUUACAGUGUCCAGCGCCCUGUUUCCAGCUACCGCGACACCCGCAAUGUGUCUGGCACCCCGUUUCCAGCUACCGCAACACCCGCAACGUGUCCGGCGCCUCACUUCCAGUUACUGCAACAACUGCAGCUUGUCCGGUGCCCCACUUCCAGCUACCGUGACACCCACAGCUUGUCCGGCGCCCCGCUUCCAGCAACUGCGACACCCAUAAUGUGUCC
rnacentral:lncRNA from 1 species